AAUCAACGCUGGCGGCGUGCCUCAGACAUGCAAGUCGAACGAUUAAACUUUCCUUCGGGAAAGAUAUAAAGUGGCGCACGGGUGAGUAACACGUAAGUAAUCUACCUUCGAGUGGGGAAUAACAUCGGGAAACCGAUGCUAAUACCGCAUAAUGCAGCGGCAUCGCAAGAUGACAGUUGUUAAAGGAGCAAUCCGCUUGAAGAGGAGCUUGCGGCAGAUUAGCUAGUUGGUAAGGUAAUGGCUUACCAAGGCUUCGAUCUGUAUCCGGCCUGAGAGGGCGGUCGGACACACUGACACUGAAUAACGGGUCAGACUCCUACGGGAGGCAGCAGUCGGGAAUUUUGGGCAAUGGGCGAAAGCCUGACCCAGCAACGCCGCGUGAAGGAUGAAGUAUUUCGGUAUGUAAACUUCGAAAGAAUGGGAAGAAUCAAUGACGGUGCCAUUUAUAAGCUCCGGCUAACUACGUGCCAGCAGCCGCCGUAACAC
rnacentral:rRNA from 1 species